rnacentral:rRNA from 1 species
GGACGAACGCUGGCGGCGUGCUUAACACAUGCAAGUCAGGGGGCCCGCAAGGGUCACCGGCGAACGGGUGCGUAACACGUGAACAACCUGCCCGAGCGAGGGGGAUAGCCGGCCCAACGGCCGGGUAAUACCGCAUAUGCUCACAGCGCCUUAUGGCGCAGUGAGGAAACCUUUCGGGGGCGCUCGGAGGGGUUCGCGACCUAUCAGCUAGUUGGUGGGUAACGGCCUACCAAGGCAGCGACGGGUAGCNGGUCUGAGAGGAUGGCCAGCCACAUUGGGACUGCGACACGGCCCAGACUCCUACGGGAGCAGCAGGU